GCGUCCCCCGAUUUGUCUCACGGAUUUUCCUCUUUUGCAGCACAUUCACCACUUUCUCGAACGGCUAACUACGCCCUCUCGAACGGCUAACUACGCUAAAGGCCUGAGACGUAAAACGAACUACCCCAGCUCUGUGUCUGUCCACUCAAGUAGACAACUAGAGACACUGCAGUCAGUUUGUUUGCGAGAUACCGGGGGAAAAAAUAUUUUAAAAAUCGUCCUGCGACUCCUGCCGUCUACAGACGUCCCCAAAACAAACAAAAAACGACUCUCGGAUGAGAAUGACUGUACAACUGGAAAUAGUCGCUAAUAGAGAUAUAUGUCAGUCAGUCAAGUGGCUAGCUGCCGUCAGAUACUUCUAUUGCAGUAAAGUUGAAGGGCUCUGGCUCGUUUACUUAGCCAGCUAGGAUGAAGUAAGAAGCUAACGUUCAACGGAGCCUACCUCAGCAUGAGCAAAAGAAUACGCUACUAGGUUCUCAUAAUAACUUUGCUUUACAGAUAGGCUACUGAGACAGACAGUGAUUUGGCGCUCAGUGGUGAGGCUGAUGGAGGAGGCAAUGCAUGCAGGAGAAAGCAGUGGAGACAGAGAGACAGGAAGCAAGCAGAGAGAGGUGCACAGCUCCAGCCUUCAAAGGCCGCUUUCAAACACUGUGGCCCUAACGGACCGGAGUUGAACACUCCAGCCCUUACCACACUAGAGAUUCCCUUGUGGACCAAUGGAAAGGUGACAGUCUGACACCUGGUUGUGCUAUUACAACACACCUUCAAUUACAUAAUCAUAUCACGCCAUCAUAUCACAAAGCCUAGUUCUCUGGAUCCCCUUCGCCUCAGGGUCAUCCUAAGAGGUACUUGGAAACAGAGCUGGGCUGGGGGAUGGAAACUGGGUGCGCUCCUCUCUGCUCUGUGAGAAAGAAAGGAGGCCUAAGCUGAGUGAUGAUCUGUAUCGAUCCAACUUGGUGUUUGUCUACCCAGUGGACCACAGGAGGAGAUAUCAUGGGAUCCAACAUCUUGAGAGUGGCUAACAUCAGAUGGCAUCUCAAAAAGGCUGAUGGAAAACGUCAUGUUUGGGAUUAUCUCUGACACAGCCACGGCUGACCUGAGCCUGCCACCAGAGAUGCAGAGCCUUUCAUUUGGCCCCCCACAAGAUCCCACCGCGUCAGAGGCAGAAAUACAUUUCUACAGCCACACCAGACUACCUCUGUUUAUAAGUCAUGUGCGUGAGUUAACAGAAUAAGGUGAAAUGAAAAGAUGGUGCAUCUGUUGAGCGCUGAUAUACAAUACUAGUCAAAAGUUUGGACACACCUACUCAUUCAAGGGUUUUUCUUUAUUUUUACUCUACAUUGUAGAAUAAUAGUGAAGAAAUGAAUACUAUAAAAUAACACAUAUGGAAUCAUGUAGUAACCAAAAAAGUGUUCAACGAAUCAAAAUAUAUUUGAGAUUCUUCAAAGUAGCACUCCAUCGCUCUCCUUCUUGAUGUGUUUUGAGUCAUUGUCCUGUUGAAAAACAAGUCAUAGUCCCACGCCCAAGUGGUGCAGCAGUCUAAGGCACUGCAUCUCAGUGCAAGAAGUGUCAUUACAGUCCCUGGUUCGAUUCCAGGCUGUAUCACAUCUGGCUGUGAUUGGGAGUACCAUAGGGCAGCGUACAAUUGGCCCAGCGUCGUCCAGGUUUGGCUGAGGUUAGGCCGUAAUUGUAAAUAAGAAUUUGUUCUUAACGGACUUGCCUAGUUAAAUAAAAAUUGAAAUAAGUGAAAUCCAGAUGGGAUGGUGGUAGCCAUGCUUGUUAAGUGUGCCUUGAAUUCUAAAUAAAAUCAUGAAGGCCUGAUUCACACAGUCUCCUCUGAACAGUUGAUAUUGAGAUGCAUCUGUUACUUGAACUCUGUGAAGCAUUUAUUUGGGCUGCAAUUUCUGAGGCUGGUAACUCUAAUGAACUUAUCCUCUACAGCAGAGGUAACUCUGAGCCUUCCUUUCCUGUGGUGGUCCCACGAGAGCCAGUUUCAUCAUAGCGCUUGAUGGUUUUUGCGAAUGCACUUGAAGAAACUUUCAAAGUUCUUGACAUUUUCCAUAUUGACUGACCUUCAUGUCUUAAAGUUAUGAUGGACUGUCAUUUCUCUUUGUUUAUUUGAGCUGUUCUUGCCAUAAUAUGAACUUGGUAUUUUACCAAAUAGGGCAAUCUUCUGUAUCUUCUCACCUUGUCACAACACAACUGAUUGCCUCAAACGCAUUAAGAAGGAAAUAAAUUCCACAAUUUAACUUUUAACAAGACACACCUGUUAAUUGAAAUGCAUUCCUGCUGACUACCUCAUGAAGCUGUUUGAGAGAAUGCUAAGAGAAUGCCAAGAGUGUGCAAAGCUGUUAUCAAAGCAAAGGGUCAAGGAUCUCAACUAUAAAAUAUACAGUAUUUUGAUUUUUUAAAACUUUUUCGGUUACUACAUCAUUCCAUAUGUGUUAUUUCAUAGUUUUGGUGUCUUCACUAUUAUUCUACAAUGUAGAAAACAGAAAAAACAACAAAAAAACCUGGAAUGUGUAGGUGUGUUAACUUUUGACUGGUACUGUAUGUUCAGGAGUAGUCCAGCAUCCUUCCUGUAUUUUCCGGUAGCAAUCCAUAUGUAGAUGUGUAUAUGGGUCUUUUGUAGUGUUUACUGAGGAACAUUGCGGGGGCCGGCUAUGUAAUGAAGAGGGCUCAAAGAGAUCUCCCUCCGUGUCACUCCAGGAGCUCGGCGAUAAAGCCUCCCUGCCGGCCCAACAACAUAAGUGUCCAAUCUGUGUUUGCUUACCCAUGAACACCCUUGGCAGAGUCUUGCGGAGCCCGUAAAUGUGGCCUUUUUACAGGCCCUGACAGCUAACAGGCCAUUGGCAAAGGAGGCCCAAUGACACGGCCACUCAACAGAUUAGCACCUCAUCAGCCUCCUGCAGCUUGGAACAAAUAUGGCCCUGCUUCACAUAAAACACAAUGGGUCCACCACUGCUAAACAGCCGCUCAGCAGGGGAGCACCCCACAAAACUUCCUGCUCUGCCCUUUCUCCAGGCCGCAGCUGUACCAGGGGCCCUUCCCUUCCCCACCCCGACACCAAUUGGCAAGAUGUGUGUAUUUCAGGUGAGCAAAUAUUGCCACUUGCCUGAGAGUUCAAUGGCCAUCCCUUUCAGGGGUUGCGUAUUGUGCCUGUUUGCAGGAGGGUAUAUGUGUGGCCCUCACAGGAGCCCUGCAAGGGCAUGGGAAACCUUCAGCCACAGCUGUGCUCAGCAAAUCUAACACUCCAAUAUACUUCAUCUGCAUUUACUACCAUUGAGGAAAUCCUUCCUGACUCUAUUUCCUGCAGUCAUCUCAAAAUCAUAAUAGACAUUAAACUGGUGUCA